GUGGGGAAUAUUGGGCAAUGGAGGAAACUCUGACCCAGCAACGCCGAGUGGAGGAAGAAGGUUUUCGGAUCGUAAACUCCUGUCCUUGGAGACGAGUAGAAGACGGUAUCCAAGGAGGAAGCCCCGGCUAACUACGUGCCAGCAGCCGCGGUAAUACGUAGGGGGCAAGCGUUGUCCGGAAUAAUUGGGCGUAAAGGGCGCGUAGGCGGCUCGGUAAGUCUGGAGUGAAAGUCCUGCUUUUAAGGUGGGAAUUGCUUUGGAUACUGUCGGGCUUGAGUGCAGGAGAGGUUAGUGGAAUUCCCAGUGUAGCGGUGAAAUGCGUAGAGAUUGGGAGGAACACCAGUGGCGAAGGCGACUAACUGGACUGUAACUGACGCUGAGGCGCGAAAGUGUGGGGAGCAAACAGGAUUAGAAACCCCGGUAGUCC
rnacentral:rRNA from 1 species